GUGCAAGAAUUUUUCAGAUAGGAGGUACGGUUUUGGAUUGACGUCAGUUUGUUUGACAGGUGGUUUUGGACUGAAUUUAACUGCUCUGAC